rnacentral:rRNA from 1 species
UACGUAGGGCGCAAGCGUUGUCCGGAAUUAUUGGGCGUAAAGAGCUCGUAGGCGGUUUGUCGCGUCUGCUGUGAAAGCCCGGGGCUCAGCCCCGGGUCUGCAGUGGGUACGGGCAGACUAGAGUGCAGUAGGGGAGACUGGAAUUCCUGGUGUAGCGGUGAAAUGCGCAGAUAUCAGGAGGAACACCGAUGGCGAAGGCAGGUCUCUGGGCUGUAACUGACGCUGAGGAGCGAAAGCAUGGGGAGCGAACAGG